CCCUAACAAUAAAAACGGAACCUUUUGCGACACUAUCAUUCUCCAUGCGCUUUUUUACUACUAUCCUUCCACCCAAACACACAAAUCCCACAAAACACAAAUGCCACCAGCGAAAAUUCCACAACACAAACAAAAGAACCCCAAUUUUUUGACUUACGAAAAGGUACUGCAUCUCUGAAUGCCAUUGCCAUUGCCAUUGCCAUUGCAGAGCACACAAAAAAACCUCAAAAAUUACCAACCCAAGAACAUAGGAACCGUAAUUUGCACGAGUCCCCAGGUUGUUACCUCAAAGAUUGAUACUUUCUCCUCGUUUUUGAAUUAUCUCCAUCUGGGUGUGUCGGAAGUUGUUGGAAUUGAGGAAUGGAGGGCGAGAAAUACGGUGAGGAGCUGGAUGUGGCGGUGAGAGUGGUUCACAUGGCGUGCGCUCUGUGUCAGAGGCUGCAGGAGGGUUUGGUGUCAGGUGGCAGUGGCCUCGUUAAGUCCAAGGACGAUGAUUCUCCUGUGACUGUCGCAGAUUGGAGUGUGCAAGCAACUGUUAGCUGGAUACUGUCUGAAUUCUUUGGAAGUCAGAAUGUAUCCAUUAUUGCUGAAGAAGAUGUACAAACUCUCUCUCAGGCUGACUCAGCAGGUUUGCUGGAAGCUGUUGUGAACACUGUUAAUGAAUGCUUAGCUGGAGCCCCCAAAUAUGGUCUUAAAAGUCCACCAAAAUCCCUCAACACCUCUCAAGUUCUUGAGGCUAUCAGCCGAUGCAACUCAGUGGGAGGCCCCAAAGGAAAACAUUGGGUACUUGAUCCUGUUGACGGAACACUAGGGUUUGUGCGUGGGGAUCAAUACGCUGUAGCUUUAGCAUUGAUUGAGGAUGGAAAAGUUGUUAUUGGAGUACUUGGGUGCCCUAAUUACCCAAUGAAUAAAGAAUUGCUCAGUUAUCAUUAUCAGUACCAUGAAGCCAUGUCAAAGUUGUCUCCCCCUUCUGAGGAUACGUGGGAAAGAGGUUGUGUGAUGUAUGCGAGGAGAGGCAGUGGUAAAGCAUGGAUGCAGCCACCAAUCCGUGGGGAUAAGAAGUUUGUGUGGCCAAAUUCUGCAAGACUUAUUCAGGUUUCUUCCAUUGAUGACCCCACGCUGGCUACUUGUUGUGAACCUGUCGAGAGAGCAAAUUCAGACCACUCCUUCACAGCAGGACUUGCUCACAGCGUAGGGCUUAGAAAUCAGCCCCUGCGUGUCUAUAGCAUGGUGAAAUAUGCAGCCAUAGCUCGAGGAGAUGCUGAGCUAUUCAUGAAGUUUGCAAGGACUGGAUACAAGGAGAAGAUAUGGGAUCAUGCUGCUGGUCUUGUCAUUGUAGAAGAGGCCGGAGGUGUGGUAACUGAUGCUGGAGGGCGUCCCCUGGACUUCUCAAAGGGACCGUACUUAGAGGAACUUGACAGGGGCAUAGUUGUUUGUUCUGGGGCCACACUACAUGAGAAAAUCAUUGAUGCCGUGUAUGCCAGCUGGGACUCUUCUAAUUUAUGAGGCUUUUCUGUUCCAUGCCAAUGGACCACAGUGGCAGUAAAUUUUGCAAUUUUGUUGAGGGCAAGCGAUUUGCAGAGAAGGAUUUGUGAUAACAUUCAUAUGCUAUCGCCAAGGUUAAGUUUAUAGAAGGUAGUAUUUCGUCUGGUGACAUGUUCAACUGAGUUCAAAAUGGCACUGUUAUACUGCUCUACUCAAUAGUGAAAUAUUUAUCAGUAAGAUCUUCAAAGUAAAUAUUAUGCAAUUGCAGUUGCGUUUCAAGA